rnacentral:rRNA from 1 species
UACGUAGGCAGCAAGCGUUGUUCGGAGUUACUGGGCGUAAAGAGUGCGUAGGCGGUGUCGAAAGUUUGGCGUGAAAUCUCCCGGCUUAACUGGGAGGGUGCGCCGAGAACUGCGGUGCUGGAGUGUGGGAAAGGCAAGCGGAAUUCCUGGUGUAGCGGUGAAAUGCGUAGAUAUCAGGAGGAACACCGGCGGUGUAGACGGCUUGCUAGACCAUAACUGACGCUGAGGCACGAAAGCGUGGGUAGCAAACAGG